AUCGAACGCUGGCGGCAGGCCUAACACAUGCAAGUCGAGCGAGCGGCGGACGGGUGAGUAAUGUAUGGGGACUGCCCGAUCGAGGGGGAUAACUACUGGAAACGGUGGCUAAUACCGCAUACUAUCGGAUAACCCAUAUGGGAUUAGCUAGUCGGUGGGGUAAAGGCGGACCUAGGCGACGAUGCUGAGCAGGCCUGAGAGGAUGAUCGGCCACACGGGGACUGAGACACGGCCCAGACUCCUACGGAGGCAGCAGUGGGGAAUCUUCGACAAUGGGCGAAAGCCUGAUCGAGCCAUGCCGCGUGUGUGAAGAAGGCCUUAGGAUUGUAAAGUACUUUUAGCAGGGAGGCGUUAUCCACACAAGAAGCCCCGGCUAACUCCGUGCCAGCAGCCGCGGUAAUUC
rnacentral:rRNA from 1 species